rnacentral:rRNA from 1 species
AUGUUCCCUAAAUAGGUUUUAUUGUAACCCAUUUUAUCUUUUAUGUAGUCUCCACCAAUUUCUAUCUUAUUUAAAUUUUAUAUACCUCCAUCUUAAGGUUUAUUAAUUAUAUUCCCCCUUAAUAAAAUUUAAAUAAGUUAGGUAAAGGUGUAGACUACAUAAAAGAUAAAAUGGGUUACAAUAAAACCUAUUUAAGGAAAAUUUUUUAAAAUCUAUUCAUAAAAGGGAUUUAUUAGUAAUUUUCUAAAUAGUAAUAAAAUUUGAAUAAGCUAAAAAUGUGCACACAUCGCCCGUCGCUCUAGC